rnacentral:rRNA from 1 species
GAUGAACGCUAGCGGCAGGCCUAACACAUGCAAGUCGAGGGGCAGCACAGAAACAGCAAUGUUUUGGUGGCGACCGGCGGACGGGUGCGUAACGCGUAUGCAACCUACCUUUAACAGGGGGAUAACGGAGAGAAAUUUCCACUAAUACCCCAUAACAUCGAUCAAGGCAUCUUGAUUGGUUGAAAACUCCGGUGGUUAAGAUGGGCAUGCGUUGUAUUAGGUAGUUGGUGAGGUAAUGACUCACCAAGCCUACGAUACAUAGGGGGACUGAGAGGUUAGCCCCCCAGACUGGAACUGAGACACGGACCAGACUCCUACGGGAGGCAGCAGUGAGGAAUAUUGGUCAAUGGGGGCAACCCUGAACCAGCCAUGCCGCGUGCAGGAAGACGGCUCUAUGAGUUGUAAACUGCUUUUAAACAGGGAUAAAGCACAGUAUGUAUACUGUGUUGAAGGUACUGUAAGAAUAAGGAUCGGCUAACUCCGUGCCAGCCGCCGCAGUAA